rnacentral:rRNA from 1 species
AUACAGAGGGUGCGAGCGUUAAUCGGAUUUACUGGGCGUAAAGCGCGCGUAGGUGGCUAAUUAAGUCAAAUGUGAAAUCCCCGAGCUUAACUUGGGAAUUGCAUUCGAUACUGGUUGGCUAGAGUAUGGGAGAGGAUGGUAGAAUUCCAGGUGUAGCGGUGAAAUGCGUAGGGAUCUGGAGGAAUACCGAUGGCGAAGGCAGCCAUCUGGCCUAAUACUGACACUGAGGUGCGAAAGCAUGGGGAGCAAACAGGAUUAGAUACCCUGGUAGUCCAUGCCGUAAACGAUGUCUACUAGCCGUUGGGGGAUUUGAUCCUUUAGUGGCGCAGCUAACGCGAUAAGUAGACCGCCUGGGGAGUACGGUCGCAAGACUAAAACUCAAAUGAAUUGACGGG